rnacentral:misc_RNA from 1 species
CCGUGUGGUUGCACAAUCCUAUAUACCAAGAGGUGUCAAAUCUAUAUCGGCCCGUACAGAAUGGGUACUACUGUGCGGGCAAAGGUAACCAAUUGUUCCGCUUUCACAAUUUGUGUUUGCGCGUGCUCCCAGCUCAAUGAGUCUGGGUUGCUUGAAAGAGUGAAUA